CGGAAAGAUUUCAGACUGGUGCACACAACUCCGCUUUACUCCUCGUGUUUCAGCAAACAAUUAUCACAUCUUAUGCUGUUCGUGGCAUUGUUGACUACGGCGAUAUUUAAAGGUUUUGUCACAGAGAGAACAUUUCAAGGACACCAGUCACAGGGACAUCAGUCACCCUUGGUGACAUCAACGUCUUCCAGUCCGUCAAGAUGCUCUCCCUGCUGACUGAUGCUGGGUUCCUCCUCUUCCUCUUUAAAGGGGAACAUUAUCACAAUUUCAAAAGGGUUAAAAACAAUAAAAAUCAGUUCCCAGUG